rnacentral:rRNA from 1 species
GGCAUGCGUUGUAUUAGCUGGUUGGUAAGGUACCGGCUUACCAAGGCGACGAUACAUAGGGGGACUGAGAGGUUAACCCCCCACAUUGGUACUGAGACACGGACCAAACUCCUACGGGAGGCAGCAGUGAGGAAUAUUGGUCAAUGGACGGAAGUCUGAACCAGCCAUGCCGCGUGCAGGAAGACGGCUCUAUGAGUUGUAAACUGCUUUUGUACAAGGGUAAACCUGAAUACGUGUAUUCAGCUGAAAGUACUGUACGAAUAAGGAUCGGCUAACUCCGUGCCAGCAGCCGCGGUAAUACGGAGGAUCCAGGCGUUAUCCGGAUUUAUUGGGUUUAAAGGGUGCGUAGGCGGAUUGAUAAGUUAGAGGUGAAAUGUCCGAGCUCAACUCGGGAACUGCCUCUAAUACUGUUGAUCUAGAGAGUAGAUGCGGUAGGCGGAAUGUAUGGUGUAGCGGUGAAAUGCUUAGAGAUCAUACAGAACACCGAUUGCGAAGGCAGCUUACCAAUCUAUAUCUGACGUUGAGGCACGAAAGCGUGGGGAGCAAACAGGAUUAGAUACCCUGGUAGUCCACGCAGUAAACGAAGAGAGCUCGUUGUCGGCG